AGUAGAUGAUGAUAAUAAUACUAAUAAUGAUGAUGAUUAUGAUGAUGAUGAUGAUUAUGAUGAUGAUAAUGAUGAUGAUAAUGGUAAUAACAAUCCAAAUGGAAAGAGCAAGGAGGUGGAAAAACACGGAAAAUUAGUUAAGAUUAUCACCAAAACCGAUACACAGACAUCUCUGGCCAAAGUCUUGGAACAGUCGGGCUAUUUGUUCCAUUACAGGGUCAUGCACCGAACACCAAAGGACAAGACAGCAAUGCCAGUCCGGCAACACUCCUGACUGGCAACUGCACAUCCUCCGUCUUAUCACCCCGCGCCGCGCCCUCUGCCAUUGCCCUCUGGCGACGGCGUCCUCCUGCGGCCAAUUCUGUGUCGGAGCGUGUCGCAUGCGGGCCUGCGGCUUCCACGCCCCUGCGUCUGCGUCUUCAAAGCUGAGGGCUCUGCGGCUGCCAGGGACGAUGGUGGACUCGUGACUUCGGAAGACAUCUGUCGGUUUGUCUGAGUGUCUGCCUCGCCUGUCCUUCGUCACUGCUGUCACGGCAUGCCUCAGCGCGAGGACGAAGCAGGGCAGCCGAGCGCAAGGUCCAUCUGGGUGAGACUUCGAAACGCGAUCGUACACGUUUUGAGAUGUCUCUUCGCCUUCUUCUUCUCGUCGUCGCAUCUUCGCAACAGAAGCCCGGCAAGAGAAGUCGUUGUGAGUUUUUUUAUUAUAUUCU